rnacentral:rRNA from 1 species
GACGAACGCUGGCGGCGCGCCUCAUACAUGCAAGUCGAACGUGAAGCGGGGCUUCGGCCCCGUGGAAAGUGGCGAACGGGUGCGUAACACGUGAGCAACCUGCCCCGAAGACUGGGAUAA